CGGGACGGGUGAGUAAUGUAUGGGGAUCUGCCUGAUGGGGGGGGAUAACUACUGGAAACGGUAGCUAAUACCGCAUAACGUCGCAAGACCAAAGAGGGGGACCUUCGGGCCUCUUGCCAUCGGAUGUGCCCAGAUGGGAUUAGCUAGUAGGUAAGGUAACGGCUUACCUAGGCGACGAUCCCUAGCUGGUCUGAGAGGAUGAUCAGCCACACUGGGACUGAGACACGGCCCAG
rnacentral:rRNA from 1 species